rnacentral:tRNA from 1 species
CUAAUUUAAGUGGCUCUCCACAUAUAAUUUCCAAUUAUAUACUUGAUAUUAGG